CCGAGUGCGGACCCCUCGCGGGUCCAACCUCCCACCCGUGUCUCCUGUAUACCCUGUUGCUUUGGCGGGCCCACCGGGUCCCAUCGCCCCCGGGCCCGCGCCCGCCAGAGCGCCCUCUGAACCCGAUGAAGAAGGACUGUCUGAGUGGAAUGAAAUAAUCAUUUA
rnacentral:misc_RNA from 1 species